AUUGAACGCUGGCGGCAGGCUUAACACAUGCAAGUCGAGCGGUAGCACAAGAGAGCUUGCUCUCUGGGUGACGAGCGGCGGACGGGUGAGUAAUGUCUGGGAAACUGCCUGAUGGAGGGGGAUGACUACUGGAAACGGUAGCUAAUACCGCAUAACGUCGCAAGACCAAAGAGGGGGACCUUCGGGCCUCUUGCCAUCAGAUGUGCCCAGAUGGGAUUAGCUAGUAGGUGGGGUAAUGGCUCACCUAGGCGACGAUCCCUAGCUGGUCUGAGAGGAUGACCAGCCACACUGGAACUGAGACACGGUCCAGACUCCUACGGGAGGCAGCAGUGGGGAAUAUUGCACAAUGGGCGCAAGCCUGAUGCAGCCAUGCCGCGUGUGUGAAGAAGGCCUUCGGGUUGUAAAGCACUUUCAGCGAGGAGGAAGGUGGUGAACUUAAUACGUUCAUCAAUUGACGUUACUCGCAGAAGAAGCACCGGCUAACUCCGUG
rnacentral:rRNA from 1 species